AAAUAUUGCAAACUUUUUCAACCAAGUUCCAAAGAUUCUUUCUCUUCCAAGAUAGUAGGGAAUCGAUCUCAUGGAUAUUCAUUCCCUAGCUUCUUCACCUUCCUUCACUAAUGGAAAGAUCACACGAAUUUAUGAAUCAAGAUCACAUUGUCAAUGGGCAAAAUUAUCAUUAUGGCAUCAAGAAAAGAAGACAAUUGUCUUGAAAUACAGAAUUUUCAAUUAUCAGCAAAGGCAACGUAGACGAGAAUGGGCACCAAAUUCAUGGAAAAUUUCAGCAAUAAAAGGAGGGAAAGAUUGUUCUGAAGUGACUCAGAAUUUACAAGAAAAAAGGCACAGUAGCUGGUGCUGUUGCUCUAAUCAUUGGAACAAGUAUUGGUUCUGGGAUUCUUGCUCUUCCCCAAAAAACUUCUCCUGCGGGAAUAAUCCCAAGUUCAAUAGCUAUGACAGUGUGUUGGGCAUUUCUACUAAUUGAAGCACUUGUACUAGUUGAAAUCAAUGUGGGGUUACUCAAAAAGAACAAAGUGAAAUUUGAAGACGGUGAACUAGAGAUCAUUUCGAUUAGAACAAUGGCUGAAGAAACACUAGGAGAAUGGGGUGGAGCCUUGGCUACGGUAACCUAUGUCUUCUUAGGAUACACUUCAAUGAUCGCUUACAUUUCCAAGUCUGGUGAAAUCCUCUGCCAUUUGAUUAAUCUACCGGAAUCAGUUUUGGGCUUUUUCUUCACUUCCCUCUUCACAAUUCUCAUAUCUGUAGGUGGGACAAAAACCACUGAUCAAGUCAAUCAGUGGCUCACUGCUGUUAUGAUAGGACUGCUUGUGGCAAUUGAGGUUCUAACCAUUCUAUAUGGAGGGUGGUCAGGAGACGAAGGAAGCAGUGAUUGGGGAAAAGUUCCAUCAACCAUACCAGUAUUAAUAUUCUCUUUAGUCUACCAUGAUCUAGCUCCUGUUGUGUGUGCUUACCUGGAAGGUGAUCUGAAACGAAUAAGAGCUUCCGUGUUGAUUGGUGGUCUGGUUCCCCUCCUAGCGUUGCUUGUUUGGGAUGCAAUUGCCUUUGGCCUUUCAUCCCAGGUUGAUCAAGUUGUUGACCCUGUUGAAUUGCUCCUCAGGGUCAAAUGGAGUGGAGUUUCAUAUAUGAUACAGGCAUUCUCUCUUCUAGCUGUGGGGACAUCUCUAAUUGGUACUCUUCUAAGUUUCUCUGAGUUUCUCAAAGAGCAACUCAAUAACCUUAACCUGCAAUCACGUGUAUCCACAAGAUUAGAUUUACAGAGACCAACUUCUCAGCUCCGUCUAAGAAAAUGGUGGAUAAGAAACAAUUUAGGCUUCACAGCAACAGCAAUUGCCAUUGCUCCCCCUCUACUUUUGUCGACAGCAAUUCCAGAUGCAUUUUCUGCUGCUACAGAUAUAGCAGGCGGUUACUGCAUGACGAUGCUAUAUGGCAUCCUACCACCAGCAAUGGCAUGGGCUAUGCAUAAUAGAGAAGGAAAGGACAAUGAACCGAAAAUAUCAAUAGCAAAACCUGCCCUUGUCUCUGUAGGACUAGUUGCGUGUGGUAUAGUUGCAGUACAAAUUCUUCAAGACCUCUCUAUGUUGCAUUCUUGAAGUGUAUCAGUCUGAUGCUAGACAUUGUAGAUAUGUAAUUACAGAAUAAAAAAUCUUCUCAAGAUCAUGGAAAGAAAAAGCAUAUUGAAACUGCAAA